rnacentral:tRNA from 1 species
GCCUGGGUGGCUCAGUCAGUUAAGUGUCUGACUUCGACUCAGGUCAUGAUCUCGCGGUCCGUGGGUUCGAGCCCCACGUCUGGCU